GGAUUAGAUACCCUGGUAGUCCACGCCCUAAACGAUGAGAACUAGAGGUUGAGGGAACUUAAUCCCUCAGUAUCGCAGCUAACGCGCUAAGUUCUCCGCCUGGGGAGUACGGCCGCAAGGUUAAAACUCAAAUGAAUUGACGGGGGCCCGCACAAGCGGUGGAGCAUGUGGUUUAAUUCGAUGCAACGCGAAGAACCUUACCUGGCCUUGACAUCCUCGGAACCUCGUAGAAAUAUGAGGGUGCCUUCGGGAACCGAGAGACAGGUGCUGCAUGGCUGUCGUCAGCUCGUGCCG
rnacentral:rRNA from 1 species